UUGAGGUGAAGGUACUCCUUUUAGAUCUAGUUGGGAUAGUUUGGAGAUUAAUUGAUCCAUAAGGGAUUUGUUAUUUUCUCCAAUGUGGAAUUUAUUCUUAUUUAACUCAGGUGGUGGUUUAAAUAAUACUGACUUAGGUAUGGGAGAUACCGUAGGUAAUUCCUUGGAUACUAUUCUUUCUAUUCUUUCAGUUUGCUUUCCAAGGGAUUGUAGAUAUAAGUUUGUAUAAUUAUUUUGUUCUACAAUAUGGGGUAUGUACUCUUGUUUUUUAUUGAUCUCUUUAGGUAUGGCUUUAU
rnacentral:lncRNA from 1 species